GCAUCACAGAUGGAAAUACAGAAAUCACUGUGGUGAUCACAAAAUGAAAAUACUGACAAUAUGUUUGUCUGUGCUAAGUGUGUUGAAUCCUGCUGAUUCUGCUGGUUUGUGAAGAGCUUCAGGCCACGUGAAGCAGUUUGACACACUCUGAAGUUACCUGAAGGGACAUUAGUUAUAUUUUUAAAGAGGGGGGCUGGAGAAAAAUGUAAGAAAAUAUAGCUGGUAGUGUUGGAUGACUUCUGAUUGCUCUGUUCCUAAGCAAAGUGCAAGAUCUGACAAGGAGAUGUUUCUCUUGCUCUUCAGAGGACACUUGCUGACCUGCCCAACUGUGGAUCUCAUUGCUGAAGCUCACCUGAUUCAGUCUCUGACUUUCUCUUUUAAUCUAAAGAGGUCUUACACCUGCUGAAAAUGAUGAAUUUUUACCAUUCAUGGACAGGAGCUCAGCAUAUGGAAGCAGCUGUCACAGGAGAUGACUCUGGAGAAACUCUAUCCAAACAAGAGAAGCAGCAAGGAGGUGACAUUUUGAAGAUAAAUAAGUAAUUAUUUGUGUUGGUUUUGAUGAUGAUGCUUCUUUUGGGGUGUUUGUUUGUUUUUGUUAUUGUAUUGAUGGACAUAUGGUGCAAUUUGUGGACGUUAUCUUCUGCCAAUAGACUUGCACACUGAUGCUAAGAAUAGAUCAGAAUUUCUCCCAGUUCCUGAUUCAAAAAGAAGCGUUACUGUCUAUAACUCAUUCAGCCCCUCAUUCAGAAAAGCCAAUAGGCAUUCUAAAAAUCUUAGUAUGGAUGGACAGUCAUCAAUUAAUUCCCUAGGAAUUCACGCUUAACAAUGACCACAAUCUGCAGCAACCCUACACUGAUCAGGUAUCGUGGAUCCUGAAUGAAAGGGGGUGGUAGAAAUUCACCUGGCAAUCCAUGAAACCAGCCUCUAAAUGCUUGGUGAGCUACUUUGUUUCUUUAGACUGACAUGGAGGGUGGUAUGGAGUAUUAAGGUGCAGAUGAGUCUGUCAUGUGGAAAAUAGUUCUGGUGGUUAAGUAGCCUUUGUACGUUCUUCUCUCCCUAAGACCUUCAGUCUUUUUUCCAUUCAUUUUUUCCUACAUCUGUGUCACUGGUUUAACUGGUUUAUAAGUAGCAAACUUCUUUUGUUGGUAACUGCAGAACAUGAUCUCCAAAUUCCUGUGGAAAGCCAGGCUACCACUUCUCAGGUGGUUUCUUUUGUUGUUGUUGUUGUUGAUUUUUUGUUGUUGUUGAGAGGUUUUUUGAUAUAUCAACACAUUUUCAAACUGUGGGUACAUCCCAUGCUGAACACUCUGCCUCAGAAAUGGGCCUGAUGACAUCUAUUCCUAUUACAGACAUCUUCCUCAUUUUUCUCUACUUUUUUACCUACACCUUGAAGAAUGACAUUAGAAGGUGGGUUUUUUUAACUAUUUCCUUUGCUUCUAUCCCUUAUCACUACAUACAUCAAAAUAAAAUUAAAGUAAAUUAGUAUGUGGUAUUUGCC
rnacentral:lncRNA from 1 species